UCCCCGUUAUCCUGGGCAGUCCUUCCAGAGUUCCCGGCAUGACCCGUUGGCAACUGGAAGCAGGGGUUGCGCUCGUUGCGGGACUUAACCCAACACCUCACGACACGAGCUGACGACGGCCAUGCAGCACCUGUGCCCAGGUUCUCUUUCGAGCACUCUCAUAUCUCUAUGAGAUUCCUGGCAUGUCAAGGGUAGGUAAGGUUUUUCGCGUUGCAUCGAAUUAAACCACAUCAUCCACCGCUUGUGCGGGUCCCCGUCAAUUCCUUUGAGUUUUAACCUUGCGGCCGUACUCCCCAGGCGGUCGACUUCACGCGUUAGCUUCGUUACUGAGAGUGUCAAACCCCCAACAACCAGUCGACAUCGUUUAGGGCGUGGACUAC
rnacentral:misc_RNA from 1 species